UACAGAGGUCUCAAGCGUUGUUCGGAUUCAUUGGGCGUAAAGGGUGCGUAGGCGGCGCGGUAAGUCGGGUGUGAAAUCUCGGAGCUUAACUCCGAAACUGCACUUGAUACUGCAGUGCUCGAGGACUGGAGAGGAGAUUGGAAUUCAUGGUGUAGCAGUGAAAUGCGUAGAUAUCAUGAGGAAGACCAGUGGCGAAGGCGGAUCUCUGGACAGUUCCUGACACUGAGGCACGAAGGCCAGGGGAGCAAACGGG
rnacentral:rRNA from 1 species